rnacentral:tRNA from 1 species
GCCAUCUUAGCUCAAUUGGUAGAACGCAUGGCUUUUAACCAUGUGGUUGUGGGUUUAAACUUUCCAUUAUUUAGUA